rnacentral:lncRNA from 1 species
CCCAAAUGAAGUAAGGGCUGGCCAUUUUGUUUGUUUUUACACAUGCCAGCACCCGCACACAACCCACUCUGUUUGAUUUAUUGUGUGGGGUCUUUUUAUUUUGGUUUUAGAAUACUGUACACAAAUGACAUUUUCUGAAGUUUCUAUUUUCAGAGUUUUGGGUGCACACAUGUAAAUUCUCUUGAUUAGAAGAAAUGUACUGAACAAUCCAAUGUAAACCUGAUACACAAAAUAUUAGAAAUAAUUGAAAUAUCUUGAAAUAAUGUCUGAGGUACAGGCAAACAAACACUCACUUAAUAGGGCUGACUGACCUCUGAACUCUGUUCUGACUUCCUGGUGUGGCCUGAUCACCCUCACUAGAAAGACUGGAGACAUUGGGUGAGAUUUAAAUGGGGUAUGUAAACACUAAUAAUUAGAAGAAGUUUAUCAAUAGUCCCAUGUGUGAUUCGGACCAUGAAGAAGGACAGAGAGAGAGAGCGCUGCCCCUGAAUGAGCGACACCUGUCUCUAGUCUAUUUUACCAUUACCUUAUGGGAUACAAUUAUUUCCUUAUGGAGUUAUCAAGAGUGGUUAUGGCGAAGGUGACCACAGAUGGUGUCUAGAUGCAUGGAAGGGAUAAUUUGACCAAGAACAGUGUGAACCUCAACACCCUCCCCCCUAACCGGCUGAAGCAAUGGCAAACAUGGAUUUCAGUGUGGUCCUUCUCCACUUCUACUGUGAGACCUGAGUCCAAGCCAGAAACCUGUACACAGCAUCCAGUCGAAUCUAUCAACUGCCAUUUCUCUCAUGCAUAUUUCUCUCAGGAGUGCGACAUGGGUCCACGUGGAGUGAGAAUGGAGAGAGAUCCCAUCCAAACUUGCUGGUAUACUGGUAGGAAAAUGGACAAGACAUAAUGGACUGUAAAGGACAGUGGCGGAUCAUGUGAGAGACAUUAUCAAGGGCCAUCCACUUUGAACAUGUGCUAUUGGGAGGACGAACUGAAACACUAUCUGAAGAAGAACAUGAAGAAACAGCAGAAGGAUGAGUUCUGGGAGGGACGGGGGUGGUCAACCGUGCCCAAAGUUGAUUUAGACUUAUCCAAAAUUGUUUAUUUGGGAUAUCGGGUUGAUUGUAGAGGUCGGCACACUGUGAAAUGUAUAGUAAUUUAGACUAAGAAUGCAUUGAGAUACAGAUCUGUCAUUACUACAAGUGAUAAGAAUAGUUAAUGCUAGAAAUAUAAGAUGAAUAUACUGUGUAUCAAUGUAAAUGUACAUUCUGCCAGUAUAUGUGUGUGCUAAGUUGAGGGUCUUAAAUUAAAGUGAUAGAACCAACGUGAAGGCUUCUAGAGACAGAGCUAUGCCCCUAAAAUGUGAGGAGAUACACUAGAUUGUAGCUUGGGCUAACCUUGCCCCAAUCUCAUUAUUAUCAAGGUUGGUGUGAAACUAUUAUAACAUGUGUUCUUUCUCUUCCCUGUGAAAGUCAACAUGCAUGUGCCCUAGACCGGGAGAUCUUUAGAGACGUAGAGAAAAUUGGAAAUGCUAAAAGAAUUGCAUAAAUUGGCUCUGCAAAACAGAGAGAUUCUUGACUACCUUUUGGUAAGUCAAGGAGGCACUUGUGCAAUCAUUGGCGAUGAAUGUAGUACUUUUGUCCCAGAUCACUCUUUUAAUGUGACUGAUCUUGCUGAAUACAUUGCCACUGUUGCUAAGAAUAAUCCCCCAAAAACCAGAUUGGACGCUUGCAACUUGGUUGGAAUCCCUGUUUUGAAGUUGGGGAUCCCAAAUUGCCCAAUGGGCUGCAGCGUGUGUUUUUUGUUUAGUUUGCUUAAUUGUGUUAUUAACAUGCUGUAAGGCGAUCUGUGCCUCUGCGGCUGGUAAGAUUUCAGCAGCUAUCAUGCUUUCUGCUCCUCCAGAGGAUGGUGAAACUUAUGAGUUGCCAACUCUGGAUGAGUUCCCAUUUCCCCCUAAG